rnacentral:rRNA from 1 species
GAUGAACGCUGGCGGCGUGCCUAAUACAUGCAAGUCGAGCGAACAGACGAGAAGCUUGCUUCUCUGAUGUUAGCGGCGGACGGGUGAGUAACACGUGGAUAACCUACCUAUAAGACUGGGAUAACUUCGGGAAACCGGAGCUAAUACCGGAUAAUAUAUUGAACCGCAUGGUUCAAUAGUGAAAGACGGUUUUGCUGUCACUUAUAGAUGGAUCCGCGCUGCAUUAGCUAGUUGGUAAGGUAACGGCUUACCAAGGCAACGAUGCAUAGCCGACCUGAGAGGGUGAUCGGCCACACUGGAACUGAGACACGGUCCAGACUCCUACGGGAGGCAGCAGUAGGGAAUCUUCCGCAAUGGGCGAAAGCCUGACGGAGCAACGCCGCGUGAGUGAUGAAGGUCUUCGGAUCGUAAAACUCUGUUAUUAGGGAAGAACAUAUGUGUAAGUAACUGUGCACAUCUUGACGGUACCUAAUCAGAAAGCCACGGCUAACUACGUG